rnacentral:lncRNA from 1 species
UAAAGGAAAUAAAAAUUAUUUGUCCUUUCUCGGUGUUGCCAUUCUUAUAUUGACCCUUAUGGCCAUAAGCUUUCCUUCCCAAACCACCGCAAACAAUCGUCAUUUAUUUCCACCUCCAUCUCCAAGAAUUUCUACCCCUAACCAUUUUAAGUCUCCACCGCCAUCUCCACCCAUGAAACACUAUGUGCCGCCACCUCCACCUCCCGAGAAAUCAUACAUGUACAAGUCUCCUCCCCCACCUUCUCACUAAGCUGAUCGGAGAUAAGCCAAUGACUUCAAAGGUAUUUUUGAUUUGUGUUAAGUCGUUAACUCUUUCAAUUAGUUGUUGAUUUUUCAUAUUAUUUUCCAAAAUAGGUCCCGCUGAACUGCUCAUUUGAUUUUUUCAACAAUAAUUGAAAAGAAUGGAAUCGACAUACAACUUAUGAAAAUCUCAUAAUUAUUGAUGGCAGCUAGUUUUUGUAUUCCUGCAGGAAAUUGAAGAUUAUUUGAUUACAGAAUGGGUGAGCUUGAGAAAAUAAUAUAGUUAUAAUAAACCCAAUGGAGACACGAUUCAGUAGUUCUCUUUAGAGGCUAGAGCUCCAUAAUAUUGUAUUGUUUCUAAUUUAUUUUCUUUUAUUUUCUUGAGGUUAGUUUUAUUUCACUCCUUUUAGUCUAUUCUAAUUUUCAGUUUCAUAUUUAUAAUUAAGAAAAAUGAACCAACGACCUUUUCAC